ACUUAAAGUCGAAAAUCCCAGUUCUGUAAUCUGCCAAGAAAGCCAAGAAUGCUGUUUUAAAAUGAACCUGUAAUGGUAAAGAUUGCAAUCUCUCUUCUCAGCAAGGUUUUUAUUAUUUUUUUAUUAUUACCGGUAUUAUUAUUUUUAGGAAAAGCAAGUCAUUUCAUCUUCCCCAACCUCAGUGACCGUGCUUUGAUGACAAGCCAGAUGGCACUUGCUCCUUGCACCCGGUGCCAGAAAGCCUGAUUGGAGCUGCAAUUUACCUUCCGUGGUGAAGUGGAAUGUCGGAGUGUACCACAGCUGCGGAUUUGGCUGCCGCUAGUAGUUUCAGUAGCAUACUGAAAAAAAGAAACUAGCCUCGGAGAUUUUCAGGACUGUGAUCAUCAAGCAGCAAAGAACCCAAGGCAAUGCUGCAUCUUCAAACAACAAUUUAUUUUCUCUUUGAUGUAUGUGUGGCUUCUGAGGUUAAUCUCUGU